CUGGUGCUUUUACUAAAUAGUAAAACUACUAACUAUAUUUUAUAAUAUUAUUAUAAAAUAAGACAAGUAAAAGAUGGACCUGAUAAAUAUCAAUAUAGAAUUAGAGCAUUAGACCAAUUAUCAAAUAAUUUAUAUCCAUUAUUAGAUCAAUAUCCAUUGCAAACAAAACAGUUAAAGGACUAGACGCUAAAGCAUUUAGAGAAGUUCACAAACUUAUGUUAAACAAUGAACAUUUAAGCUUUCGUCCUUGCAAGACAAGGUCUUAGCGAGGGCCUGAAAAUGGUUUAAUUAAAAUACGUGAGAUAAAAUCUACAAUGAAUAGAUCUAGAACAUCUUUUACCUUUGAAUAAUAUUUCCCCUUUUUUUUUGUUUUAAGCUCAAAAAAGUUCACAUGAUUUACGGUUUUUAUUUAGUUUUUUUUUUUUUGUCUGUUAAGAUAUAGUCCAAGUUUACUUUAAUAAGUAGAUAUGAAUAAUGAGCGAAAUUCCUUGGCCGUUAAAUGCGGUCCAGCAUGAACGAUCCCAUGAUACAACAGCUGUCUCCGCGAUAGACUCAGUGAAAUUGGAAUAGCUGUGCAGAUACAGUUUACCCAUAGUCAGACGGGAAGACCCUAUGCAGCUUUACUGUAACUAGUUAUUGCUUGCGAUCGGAUUAGGUUGUAGAGUAUAAGGUAGUCGAUUAGACAAGGGAGAUUCCCCGUGAAACACCUUUACCUAAUAGGCCGUAAGCUGGUGGAGAUAUCACUCUACCCUUUUCGCUUUUUUAUAUAAUUGAGAAAAAAAAAGUUUUUGUUUAAUUAAACAUUAACUUAUAUAAAUAGAGAUUGCUAAUUUAGCAAACUUGAAUAAGAUAAAGUAGCAAUUAUUAGUUUUUUAACAUAAUUGUGACAGUGACUAGCUGGCAGUUUUUGUGGGGCGCAAUUCUCAAAAAAAGUAUCUGAGUAAGUCCGAUUAAUUAAAAGCACUCCAGAAUUAUUAGUAAUAAUAAUUAAGCUUAAUUUAAAACAUAAAGGUUUGGUUGAACCCAAUGGAAAUGGGCAGAUGAAUUCUCUAAAAUUUAAACAAGUUAUGAAAUUAGUUCAAGAUGUUUAAAUCAAAAAGAAUUUGGUUGACUUUAUAAUAAUUAUAGUCGAUUAAGCAUAAUCUAACAACAAGUGUAAUGGCAUAACCAAGCCUAACUGCGAGACCUACAAGUCGAGCAGACACGUAAGUGGGGCAUAGUGACCAGAUGGUUCAUCAUGGAAUGGCCAUCGUUUAACGAAUAAAGUUACGCUAGGGAUAACAGGCUAAUGGCGCAAGAGAGUCCAUAUUGGCCGCGCAGUUUGGCACCUCGAUGUCGACUCGACCUAUCCUCCCGGUGUAGGUGCUGGGAAGGGUUCGGCUGUUCGCCGAGUAAAAGGUCACGCGAGUUGGGUUAAGUACGUCGUGAGACAGUACGGUCCCUAUCUUCUAUGGGAAAUUAGAGUCGAAAAAGGAUCUGUCCUUUGUACGCAAGGAUUUGGAUGGACUAACCUCUUGUUUACCUGUUGUUUAUUUUAAUAUAAUCUUAUUAUAUUUAGAAUUCUAUUAAAACUAAUUGGAAUUACAUAAAUAGGCACGGCAGGAAAGCUACGUUGGGAAUGGAGAAAGGCUGAAAGCAUCUAAAGCCUGAAAUCAACCUUUAUAUAC
rnacentral:rRNA from 1 species